rnacentral:rRNA from 1 species
GCGGCGUGCUUCAUACAUGCAAGUCGAACGAGAAGCAGGAGCUUGCUCCCGUGGAAAGUGGCGGACGGGUGAGUAACACGUAGGAAAUCUGCCUUUGGGUGGGGGACAACAGUUGGAAACGACUGCUAAUACCCCAUAUGAGCUUGGUUGCAAUACCAAUCUUGAAAACUCCGGUGCCUAAAGAUAAGCCUGCGUCUGAUUAGCUUGUUAGCGGGGUAAUGGCCCACCAAGGCGACGAUCAGUAGCUGGGUUGAGAGGAUGAUCAGCCACAAUGGGACUGAGACACGGCCCAUACUCCUACGGGAGGCAGCAGUAGGGAACUUUGCGCAAUGGGGAAACCCUGACGCAGCAACGCCGCGUGAAUGACGAAGCCCUUCGGGGUGUAAAGUUCUGUCAGUAGGGAAGAAUUUUGACUGUACCUACAAAGGAAGCACCGGCUAACUCCGUGCCAGCCGCCGCGGUAA